CGAGUUAGUAGGUACUUGUAAUUAAUAAGUGAUUUUCACCAAGUAAUUAAUUUGAACACAAUCUCGGAACUAGCUUUGUAAUUGUUUAAUUGAGAAAGCAGAAGUGCUCCAUCAAAGAUGCGUCGCUCUCUUAUAAUACACCUAAUUUUGUGUUGUACUAUAGUUCAUUUCAGCAAUGGAUGCAGUAAAGAAUACAAACCACAGGUCGAUGAAGCUGUCUUGAUGGUCAGAACACUAGAAACAACUAUAAAAGACCUCAUGGACAUCAUACCCAACCAGAUCUACAAUAACGGAAAACUAGAGCACUGUCUGAAUCGACCUAAGAAAUUAAUGAAAAAACUUACAAGUAAGAAAUGUUCAAAAGAGGAGGAAAUGCUUCAGGACGAAUAUAAAACUUAUGGGAAAAAACCAUGGACGGUACACCCCUUUUAAAUACUUUGUUUUACAAGCAAAGCAAUUUCCAUUGGAGCGUUUGAUAUUAUUUGGAUACUUCGUGGGGUUUAGAAAAUACCAAAUAAAAAAAUUAUUUAAAAGUUGCCUUACUUUAUUUUGGUGUUUAAAAAAACAUUAAUAAAUAUUGAUAUAU